GCGGACAUAGCUCAGUUGGGAGAGCGUCAGACUGAAGUGGAUCUCGAUCCUGCAAACUUCAUUCAAUCAAUCUGAAGGUCGUGUGUUCAAUCCACACUGGCCGCA
rnacentral:tRNA from 1 species